rnacentral:rRNA from 1 species
AUUGAACGCUGGCGGCAGGCUUAACACAUGCAAGUCGAGCGAGCGGCGGACGGGUGAGUAAUGUAUGGGGAACUGCCUGAUUGAGGGGGAUAACUACUGGAAACGGUAGCUAAUACCGCAUACUAUCGGAUGUACCCAUAUGGGAUUAGCUAGUAGGUGGGGUAAUGGCUCACCUAGGCGACGAUCUCUAGCUGGUCUGAGAGGAUGACCAGCCACACUGGGACUGAGACACGGCCCAGACGCAUACGGGAGGCAGCAGUGGGGAAUAUUGCACAAUGGGCGCAAGCCUGAUGCAGCCAUGCCGCGUGUAUGAAGAAGGCCUUAGGGUUGUAAAGUACUUUCAGCGGGGAGGCGUUACCCGCAGAAGAAGCACCGGCUAACUCCGUGCCAGCAGCCGCGGUAAUUC